GAUGAACGCUAGCGGCAGGCUUAAUACAUGCAAGUCGAGGGGCAGCACGGUUAGCAAUAACUGGUGGCGACCGGCGCACGGGUGCGUAACACGUAUACAAUCUACCUUAAACAGGGGAUAGCCUUUCGAAAGAGAGAUUAAUACCCCGUAAUAAAUUGAACGGCAUCGUUUGAUUUUGAAAGCUCCGGCGGUUUGAGAUGAGUAUGCGUCUGAUUAGCUAGUUGGUGAGGUAACGGCUCACCAAGGCGACGAUCAGUAGGGGAUCUGAGAGGACUAACCCCCCACACUGGUACUGAGACACGGACCAGACUCCUACGGGAGCAGCAGUAAGGAAUAUUGGUCAAUGGAGGCAACUCUGAACCAGCCAUGCCGCGUGCAGGAUGACGGCCCUAUGGGUUGUAAACUGCUUUUAUACAAGAGAAAACCCUGGUACGUGUACCAGGUUGAUAGUAUUGUAAGAAUAAGCAUCGGCUAACUUCGUGCCAGCAGCCGCGGUAAU
rnacentral:rRNA from 1 species